GAUUCUGAGAGACACCCUAAGAAGUGCGUGAAGACGGAAGACCGUCUCCUACAGUCCAGAGAGAAUGUGACAAUGACUCCUAAUGCUGAUCAUGAGUAAUAGAAGAGGUGGCUAUGCUCCAGUCAUAUUUUGUAUAUCAGAGUGCCAGAUAGAAUUAUAACAGUAAGAUUAAAAACUACUGUUCCCAUUUCAAGACUGGUGCACUGACCUCCUGGGUGUUCAGCGGAGGCUUAGAGAUCAAAAGCUAAAAGAAUAAUGGGGCUAAGAAGACAGCCAACAUUCUGGCCUUUGCCCUCCAAAGUCAGCCAGUACCUUGGGCAUGAAGGGCUCCUUCUGAAGUGGUCCUGAAACUCUGACUAUCAAGUGAUGAUUGUUCAUCAAAGAAGAUUCUGUAUUCCUUUGUCACCUUAGAUCAAGGUGAGACUUUCGGUCCCUGGCUGGGAAGGGUCAAGGCCUCUUCUCGGCUUGAAGCAGCCAUGAGAAGGCAGACAUGCCACCCCCCUCAUCCAUUAAGAGUAAGGGAUUGGCUGGGGAUUUAGCUCAGAGGCACAAGGUGUAAGGUCCUGAGUUCAAUCCCUGGUACAGAGAAAGAAAGAAAAAAGAAUAAGUAAUCAUAUUCACAGGGGAUGAGAUGAGGUAAAUAGGAAAAAAUAAAGACAGGUAAAAAGGAAUCCAAGAAAUUCAUAAUUUAGAAAAAUAAAAGCUGUAGCUUCAGGAUACACAACCAGUUGAAAAAGUGUUUUUUCUUCUUUUCUCCCAAGACCCAAUAAGACCAUGCUAUUCCCAUUUAUUGCAAAUGGGUUUUCCCAUUCACUUUUUAUCUGUGAAUAGACCACCUCUUUUCACCUGUAAAAUAGACCUUUCCUCUGAACGGACACCCCCUUUCCCUCUGCAGAAAGAGCUGUCGCCUCAUACCUAAAAAUCAAUCCUCCUUUUCCAUAUUCACAGGUUUUCCUGGUGUCCACCCUGAGUCUCCCAUAAAUACACCAGUCCGAGUCUGUGACGCACCUCACUCUCUCUCGAGGGUCCACACUCUUCUUUGAGUGCCUAAUAAAUCCCUCUAUGCCUCUUACUGACUAGUCCUGAAAAGUUUUUUUUUCCAUGAAGGAGUCAUUCAUUACAUUUACCCUAUGGGUAGGGUGGGUUUAGGUUCCUCAUCUCUACGGUAGAAACCGCCCAGGGCCCUGUCUGUGGGAAGCACCAAUGCUAGGCCAAGUCCACUGCACCUCUGGCCAGAAAGGGAAUUUCUUUGCACAGAUGCAAAAUCAUUUCCUUCCCUCCUCUGCCCUCUUCUCAUUUGAGAUUACUGUGUUGUCUCCUGCCUUCUCCCCUACUAUGUGAUGUUUUCUCUGUCCUCCUUGCUGUGGGAGGAGGAAUCAGAUCUUAGUCCCUACCUCCACCCUUUCUGUGGUGUGAAAGCCCCAAGUGAUCAAAGUUCACAGAGGUAAGGCGGCUCCACUCCAGGCUGCCCUCUGCCGCUGAUCACAAGCACAUGAUGGCCUCUUUUGUGGGUGUCCUUGUGGGCCAUGUUGGAGCUCUGCAGAGCCACAGCUGCCUGGGCUCCUGGGGACAGUGAGAGAGGAGAGGCUGGGAACACACGUGUGACAUUUAAGGGGUCAGGCAUGGUACAAAGAAUAUGACAAGAGAGGAGACUGAGAGACAGAGACCAGAAGACAGAAGUAAAGAUGCUAAGGAAGAGAGAGGCCAGAGAGGUGAGCAUCAGAGGCCGAGAAUCUUUAAGGCAGCAGCCUGGUAGAGGAACAAGACCAGAAGCUCCCAGGGUGGGAGCAUAGAGUCCAAGAGGGAGAGGAGAGAAAAGAGUGUGGUGGCAAGGGUCACCUGCAUGCCAGGGUCCCACCGCCCCCAGAACCCAAGAGCCAAGCUCACUGCUGCAUGAUGGGGCAGGCUGACUUGCAGGCAUACUCUUCCAAGUGACCAAAGGAGAAAGGCGUUGUCCUCCAGCCCACCACACAGCCUAGAACCCAGUGUCCAUGAUGUCAGGAACAUUAUGGAGCCCAGAUUCACAUUGCCCAGGGUCAUUUAGCAUGCAGGCCACCACCUUCUGAUUUCCUCUUUUUCCUCUCUAGUCUGGGGGCAUAUGGCUGAGGCCUCAGGAACCUCUGGACAGAUGGAGGACCUGGGGAAAUCAGGACUUGCCCACAGUGGUCCAAGCUGUCUCUGAGCAGGUGGAGUGGGAUUAGAACUAUCUCCAGGAGAAAACGCUAGUCUUGGGGGUGUCAGCCUAGGCGCGGCCCUCAAGGCAGUACAACAUCCUUAAUGGGGUCAGUGACCCUUGGCAUGACUGCCCUGGUGGCCUUUGGUUACUUUUGCAUUUCCCUGCUGGGCCGCAUCACAGGAACCUCAACGUCAAUAUUUGCCUUCGCUCAGCUUCAUCAUGCCAAGCUCAGUUAAAUCUUUGCCGUGAUUUCCUUGAUUCCACAGCCCUUGUGCCAGCAUUUCAUAUGAGCAUGUGGAAAUUACCCAACUUAUUGUUGGCCCCCUCAAAAGAGUUUGAGUACCUGAGCUGGGACUGGGACUGUGCUGUUCUAAUCUCAGAACCUCUCAUAGCCUGAGCAGGAAACACCGGACUCUGGAUGCAGAUUUUGAGGGUAUGAAACAGAAGGCAUCUGGGACAGAAACCAAGCUACCAGCCCUGGCUCUCCAGAGACAGAGAGGUGGGCAGAAUGGCCCCACUCCUCGCUGGCAGCAGGCACAGAAAUACUGCCUGUACCCAAACUGGACUCCGGGAGUCAAUCGGGCACUCCCCAGUGCCUCGGCCAGGAUGUCCCAGAAACUACAUUCAGUUUCGGACCACCCUCUUCAGCUUUCCUUGUCAUAAAAAAAGCCUGGGCCACGCCUUGACCAUCUUUGUAUCCGCAUGUUAGAGACAAAUAGUCUUCUCAGUCCAUGAUCCUAGAGGCUCCCAACCCGCCUCCUCCAGUGCAGACUGGAGUGGCUCCAUUUCAGAGGAAUCCAGGUGCGUGGCCUUGGACCUGCUUGGACCUCAGUGUGCAACAAUAUGCACAGGAGAUGAGGUGAGGGAGGCAGCAGUUGGGGGAGAAUUAUUUCCGACCCUAGCUGGUGAUCAGCGUGGACCCAAAGCAGAGGUGGCGAACCUAUGGCACGAGUGCCGCAGCAUGCCGCCAUAGCACUGAAAGCUCUGAAGGGUCCAUCACAGCUCUAAAGCGGAAGGGUUAAAAUCCAGAGUAAGGGCCAGGGAUUGGCUCAGGGGUUCCACCACCUGCCUCG